rnacentral:rRNA from 1 species
AUAUUGCACAAUGGGCGCAAGCCUGAUGCAGCCAUGUCGCGUGUGUGAAGAAGGCCUUCGGGUUGUAAAGCACUUUCAGCGGGGAGGAAGGCGUUAAGGUUAAUAACCUUGUCGAUUGACGUUACCCGCAGAAGAAGCACCGGCUAACUCCGUGCCAGCAGCCGCGGUAAUACGGAGGGUGCAAGCGUUAAUCGGAAUUACUGGGCGUAAAGCGCACGCAGGCGGUCUGUCAAGUCGGAUGUGAAAUCCCCGGGCUCAACCUGGGAACUGCAUUCGAAACUGGCAGGCUAGAGUCUUGUAGAGGGGGGUAGAAUUCCAGGUGUAGCGGUGAAAUGCGUAGAGAUCUGGAGGAAUACCGGUGGCGAAGGCGGCCCCCUGGACAAAGACUGACGCUCAGGUGCGAAAGCGUGGGGAGCAAACAG